rnacentral:rRNA from 1 species
UAUAAGAUUAAUCCUAUUUUUGUAUUCACGAAAGGGGGUGAGUUAAGUAUAAUCAAGUUAUAGGUGUAUAUUACUACGUUGUAUAGUAGUAUGAUAGUUAUAUUUUGUAGUGAUAGGCCUACCAAGCUUCUUGAUAACUUGUUGUGUAGAAAACAUAUUAAGUAUUUAGUUGGACUAUAAAAGUUAAGCUUUGUAGUUGCUCAUAAAUUAAGAUAAAUAAGGUUUAAUUAUAGCUUAAUCGUUAAGUGGUUUUUUAUAAUAAUAUUAAUCAUUUUAUUGUUGUGUUUAUUAUUGCACUUUGCUGUGUUGUCUUGUGUAUAAAUAAUGUAAAUAUAAGUAAUAAUAAAAAUGCACGGAAGGAACUCGGCAAAUAUACUGUUCAACUGUUUACCAAAAACAUAACUAUAUGAUAUAAUAUAUAGCGGUUCUGCUCCAUGGUAAUCUAAAUAGCCGCAGUACCCUGACUGUGCAAAGGUAGCAUAAUCAGUUGGCUCUUAAUUAGAGUCUGGAAUGAAUGAAAGUAUGGAUGGUAACUGUCUUACUGUGUAUUAAAUUGAAAUUGGUAAGUAAGUGAAAAAACUUGCAAUAAUAAAAAAGACGAGAAGACCCUAGAAACUUGUAUAUAUUUUGUUGGGGCGACAGAAUUACAUGAAACUAAUUUUACAAUACGUGACGUUGAUCAGAUAGAAUAAGUUACUCUAGGGAUAACAGCAUAAUUUACAUAGUUUGUGACCUCGAUGUUGGACUAGGUACAUAGUUUUUUAAAAGGAAAUUUGGCUGCUCUGUUCGAGCAAAAGCACCUACAUGAUCUGAGUU